AGGACGAACGCUGACGGCGUGCCUAACACAUGCAAGUCGAACGAGGUCCAACCGGUGGCAACACUGGUGAAGACCGAGUGGCGAACGGGUGAGUAACACGUGAGCAACCUGCCUCGAAGACUGGGAUAACCCCGGGAAACCGGAGCUAAUACCGGAUACCCCCACCGGGUCGCAUGGCCUGGUGAGGAAAUGGAUUCCGCUUUGAGAGGGGCUCGCGGCCUAUCAGCUUGAUGGUGGGGUAAUGGCCUACCAUGGCACCGACGGGUAGCUGGUCUGAGAGGACGAUCAGCCACACUGGGACUGAGACACGGCCCAGACUCCUACGGGAGGCAGCAGUGGGGAAUCUUGCGCAAUGGGCGAAAGCCUGACGCAGCAACGCCGCGUGUGGGACGAAGGCCUUCUGGGUUGUAAACCACUUUUCAGCAGGGACGAUUGUGACGGUACCUGCAGAAGAAGCCCGGCCAACUACGUGCCAGCAGCCGC
rnacentral:rRNA from 1 species